CCCGCGAGUGGCGAACGGGUGAGUAAUAUAUUGGAACGUACCGAGUAAUGGGGGAUAACCAAUCGAAAGAUCGGCUAAUACCGCAUAUGCUCUGAGGAGGAAAGCAGGGGACCUUCGGGCCUUGCGUUAUUCGAGCGGCCAAUAUCUGAUUAGCUAGUUGGUGGGGUAAAGGCCUACCAAGGCGACGAUCAGUAGCGGGUCUGAGAGGAUGAUCCGCCACACUGGGACUGAGACACGGCCCAGACUCCUACGGGAGGCAGCAGUGGGGAAUUUUGGACAAUGGGCGCAAGCCUGAUCCAGCCAUGCCGCGUGUCUGAAGAAGGCCUUCGGGUUGUAAAGGACUUUUGUUAGGGAAGAAAAAGGAGCGGUUAAUACCCGUUUCUGCUGAC
rnacentral:rRNA from 1 species